GACGAACGCUGGCGGCGUGCCUAAUACAUGCAAGUCGAGGGACCGGCGCACGGGUGAGUAACACGUAUCCAACCUGCCCUUUACUCGGGGAUAGCCUUUCGAAAGAAAGAUUAAUACCCGAUAUAAAGGAUGGGGAUGCGUUCCAUUAGGUUGUUGGUGAGGUAACGGCUCACCAAGCCUUCGAUGGACAGGGGUUCUGAGAGGAAGGUCCACCACAUUGGAACUGAGACACGGUCCAAAAUCCUACGGGAGGCAGCAGUGAGGAAUAUUGGUCAAUGGGCGCUAGCCUGAACCAGCCAAGUAGCGUGAAGGAUGAAGGCUUAUGGGUCGUAAACUUCUUUUAUAUAAGAAUAUGUAUUAUAUUAAUAAGGAUCGGCUAACUCCGUGCCAGCAGCCGCGGUAAUUC
rnacentral:rRNA from 1 species